GACAGAGGGUGCAAACGUUGUUCGGAUUUACUGGGCGUAAAGAGCGUGUAGGCGGCCACGCAGGUCCGUUGUGAAAACUGGAGGCUCAACCUCCAGACGUCGACGGAAACCGUAUGGCUAGAGUCCGGAAGAGGAGAGUGGAAUUCCUGGUGUAGCGGUGAAAUGCGCAGAUAUCAGGAAGAACACCAAUGGCGAAGGCAGCUCUCUGGGACGGUACUGACGCUGAGACGCGAAAGCGUGGGGAGCGAACAGG
rnacentral:rRNA from 1 species